ACGCUCGACACCUACGGGAGGCAGCAGUGGGGAAUAUUGCACAAUGGAGGAAACUCUGAUGCAGCGAUGCCGCGUGAGGGAAGAAGGUUUUCGGAUUGUAAACCUCUGUCUUUGGGGACGAUAAUGACGGUACCCAAGGAGGAAGCUCCGGCUAACUACGUGCAGCAGCCGCGGUAAUCUGAGCGGGCUGGCAAGGC
rnacentral:rRNA from 1 species